CUGAUCCCACCUGAAGAUGUCCCUGCUGGUCACCUUGGUGUCGGCCCACACCCAGCUCUUUACCUGCAUCCUCAAGCUGGGCUCUCAGCAGGCCAGCCCCGUUCCGCUGCACGCAGGGGCCAGCUGUGCAGCCAGGAACCACUACAAGGUGCUAGUGCUGGUGCUGGGUGGGGGCAGCGGUGAGAUCACCAUGUCUGCUCACACGAAGAGGAAGGUGGGUGGCUAUUGUUGAGCCCAGCAAGAGACACUUCUAUCAGCCAAUCUGGACGCUGGUGGGUGCUGGUGCCAAACAGUUGUCCUCAUCUGGUAGUCCCACAGAGAGUGCGAUUCCAUCCAGUGUAGAAUGGAUCAAAGCUAGAGCGGUUGAACUGAACCCAGACAAGGACUGCAUCCACACAGACAAUGGCAAGGAGAUCUCCUACAAAUAUCUUACUAUUGCUCUUGGAAUCCAGCUGGACUAUGAGAAGAUUAAAGGCUCCCUGAAGCUUUUGUGCAUCCCAAAAUAGGAUCUCAUUAUUCAGUGAAGACUGUAGAGAAGACGUGGAAAGCUCUGCAGGACUUCAAGGAGGGCAGUGCCCGUCUUUACCUUCCCAAAUACUCCAGUGAAGUGUGCUGGAGCCCCCCAGAAGAUCGUGUAUUUGUCAGAAACCUAUUUCAGGAAGGUGGGGAAGCAAUCCAAGGCCAAUAUCAUUUUUAACACUUCUCUUGGAGGAAUUCUGGGGGUUAAGAAGUAUGCAGAUGCCCUGCAGGAGAUUAUCCAGGAGAGGAAUAUCACCAUUAACUGCAAGCAAAACCUCACUUAAGACUGAGCUGAGAAACAAGAGGCUGUUUUUGAGAACCUGAAUAAACCUGGGGAGACCCACGUGAUUUCAUAUGAAAUGAUUCAUGUCACACCACCCAUGAGUCCACCAGAUGUCCACAAGACCAGUCCUGUGGCUGAUGCUGGCUGGGUGGAUGUGGAUAAAGAAACUCUGCCGCACAAGAGGUACCCAAAUGUGUCUGGAAUUGGGGACUGUGCCAACCUUCCUAUGUUAAAGACUGCUGCUGCAGCAGCUGCCCAGUCAGGGAUACUUGAGAGAACAAUUUCUCUGAUUAUGAAGAAUCAAGCACCAAAGAAGAAGUAUGAUGGCUACACAUCAUGUCCACUGGUGACCGGCUACAACUGUGUGAUUCUUGCAGAGUCUGACUACAAUGCUCAGCGGCUAGAAACCUUCCCCUUUGAUCAGAGCAAAGAGCGACUGUCCAUGUGCCCCAUGAAAGCUGACCUGAUCCCUUUCCUGUACUGGAAUAUGAUGCUGAGGGGCUACUGGAGAGGACCAGCCUUUCUGCGGAAGUUGUUUCAUCUGAGUAUGAGUUAAGGACGGCUCAGCCCGUGCUUACCUUGGAUGGCUUCUGGAUGAAAAUUACAGUCACUGAUUGACCAAGAGCAGCACAAAGGACUUGGAGCCUAACCCUGUGAAGAGUUUCUUGCUGGGUAAUAGUGACCAAAUACCUCAGUUUUCAGUACCUUUGAAUAGCCACCGUGUGGGCUACCCAGGAUGGGCUGAUUCUUUGGAAAUGGUCAAAUGAAAGAACAGACUUCUAUUUUCUCAAUAAAAGUUUGUCAUUG